rnacentral:tRNA from 1 species
CAGAGAGUAGUUUAUUUAAAACAUCAGUUUUGGAGAUUGAAGAUAGGGAGUAGUUCUUUUCUCUGA